rnacentral:tRNA from 1 species
GGUUGUGGCUCAGUGGUAGAGCACUAGCCUAGCACAUACGAUGCCCUGGGUUCGAUCCUCAGCACCA